rnacentral:rRNA from 1 species
GAUGAACGCUGGCGGCGUGCUUAACACAUGCAAGUCGAACGGAAAGGCCCGGCUUUUGCGGGGUUCUCGAGUGGCGAACGGGUGAGUAACACGUGAGUAAACUGCCCUUGACUGUGGGAUAAAUUCAGGAAACUGGGGCUAAUACCGGAUAGGAGCUCCUGCUGCAUGGUGGGGGUUGGUAAGUUUCGGCGGUGGGGGAUGGAGUUGCGGCUUAUCAGCUUGUUGGUGGGGUAGUUGCGUAACAAGGCUACGACGGGUAGCCGGCCUGGGAGGGUGACCGGCCACAUUGGGACACGGGAGGGGCCCGGAGUGCUUCGGGAGGCAGGGGUGGGAGAUAUUGGGAGAUGGGCGGAGGCUGGAUGCAGCGACGCCGCGUGCGGGAUGACGGCCUUCGGGUAGUAAAACGCUUUCACCUGUGACGAAGCGUGAGUGACGGUAAUGGGUAAAGAAGCACCGGCUAACUACGU